UACGUAGGGUGCGAGCGUUAAUCGGAAUUACUGGGCGUAAAGCGUGCGCAGGCGGUUCGUUGUGUCGGCGGUGAAAUCCCCGGGCUAACCUGGGAACUGCAUUUGUGACUGCAUCGCUGGAGUGCGGCAGAGGGGGAUGGAAUUCCGCGUGUAGCAGUGAAAUGCGUAGAUAUGCGGAGGAACACCGAUGGCGAAGGCAGUGUCCUGGGGGAGUACCUGACGCUCAGGUGCGAAAGCCAGGGGGAGCGAACGGG
rnacentral:rRNA from 1 species